UCACACCCGUUCCCAUACCGAACACGGAAGUUAAGCUUCUCAGCGCCGAUGGUAGUUAGGGGACGAGCCCUUGUGAGAGUAGGACGUUGCCGGGC
rnacentral:rRNA from 1 species